GCUCCCUCCCUAGAUCUUCCAUCCAGGAUAGUCCUGGAAAUGAUCUUGAUGCUAUCUGUUCCUCGUUACAGCAGACCUGCUCAACUUCAGCAGCUAGAAGGAGGAUUGUCUUUCACCAGCUGCAGGAGCCUGUUCCCACUACAAGCCUGGUGGAGUCUUCGGAGCAGAUGUGACUGUCCUACUUGUAUAGAGAAGAGAAACUGAGGCUCAGAAGAGACGCCUGGCUGAGUUUAACAGGACCGCAACAACAAUUUUGCCUUUGUACUUUCUGACCGUUUGCAAAGAAUUUUCCUAAACAUCGCCACUGAGGCUCCUUCCAGCAAUGACUCUGGUCCAUCAUUGGGAUUGCUGAGCAGCUGUUUCAUAACAUGAACAAGGAUGUUUUAACCAUGUUUCUUGACCUGGCCAUUUGGAUCCCAAGGAUGUUUUGGUCCAAGAAUAAAUUCCAGAGCUUAGCUCACCUAAGAAGACAGGAAAACUUGUCAGAUGGGGAAGGAUGUGUCAAGAGCAUGCACACAGAUUUACUCUUCAGCUAGAAGCUCCAAUUCCUAGAUGAUCUGAAUCCAACUCAGAGUGCUUGCACCUGUUUCCUGCCACACAGCUAGAGCUGUCCAGUGAGAGAGACAUGAUGGCCCAGCUUGAAAAAGAAAUUGAGGAUAGCAAGUGUAACAUACCAAGCAUUCCACAAGCAGUGUCCCUCUAGGUUCUCUGAUUGGCUGAAGCUACUCUAAGGCAAGAGAUCAAAGAAGCUGAUAAUGUAGAAUGUAAGUUUGUCUCCCGGGCCACAAUGGAAAGCGGAGACUGUAGCUGGAGGAGUGAAUAGAGGAUAUGCAGCUCUGGUAAUUCUCAGUACAAUUCCCAGUGGUCCACUCUGCAGAAUGAACCAAGUUCCAUUUUGCCCAACUUCUGGCAGUCCACAUUUGGACUGUGAGCUCACCUACAGAUAAAUCGUACGUGGAUUGAUGCAGUAACUGGAUUUAUAGCUGCUAAAUCUUAUUUAAGUGAGGACCUGUCCAGUACAUGUGAAGACCACCCAUCCACUGAAAGUGAUAAGUGAAGCUGAAUCAACACUAGACUGAAUCAAUACUGAGCUGAAUCAAUACUUUCCCAAUGUUGAGGAAAUCUUGGAAAAUCUCUGAGCAAUGUGGUAAUAAUUAUUUUGAAGAACUGGAAAACUUUAUAGCUGAUUAUGCUAUGUGUGGAAGAUACAACAGGAUUAUAAGAGAGAGAAGACAACAUCCUUGCUGUGUCUGGAAGGCUUUAGCCGGGGUGUCCUACUGAGAGAUGACAAACUUAAGGUUUUUCUCUUCCCAGACAUUACUGGACAACUAGCUAUGUAAUUAGGUCUUAUGCAGAAAAGACUGAAAGGAAAACAUCUCAGAUCUAGGAAUGUGAUCAAGAAAGAAGGCUGGUUAAAGAAUAAGACGGGGAAAAUGAAUGCAGUGAAAUGGUUCACGCACAAGUUCUAGGAAUUCAGAGUGCAACAGCAGAAAUGCGAUUUUUGUUAGAUAUUUCAGAAAGUGAUAUGAGUCCCUGAGGUCAUACUGCAGCAUUCAGGUUCUGUUUGGCCUCCUGCACGAAGCUUUCCUUGAUUGGAAAAGCUGCAUACUCUGAAGAACAUCGCAUGUGUCCUGUCUGUAGUUCAUUUCAUUUCCCCAGAUUUGUUAUCAUCCACCAUCACUCAUACAAGCCUACCUUCUUCAUGCCAACCUUUGUAAUCUUUCUACCUUGCUAACCUGGUCAUGUCAAGGACCAGCUAAUAAAUAGCAAAGUUGUACCUUGAGCCAAGGUAUCUUGACUCUUAGUCCAGUGCUCUUUAUAUACCUCUGAAGUCUUAUUUGAGCUUCAAAAUUAUGAGUCUGUGCUCUCAAGAUUUUUUUGAAAAUGUACUUAAUGUUGCCCCUAAGCUUUUAUGAGAAAUAAUAAAGUUCUUUCCAGAUUG
rnacentral:lncRNA from 1 species